UACGAGAGGCCCAAACGUUAUUCGGAAUUACUGGGCUUAAAGAGUUCGUAGGCGGUAUGAAAAGCAGGGUGUGAAAGCCCUCGGCUCAACCGAGGAAUAGCGCUCUGAACUGUCGUACUCGAGGAAUCUAGAGGUGAGCGGAACUGAUGGUGGAGCGGUGAAAUGCGUUGAUAUCAUCAGGAACACCGGAGGCGAAGGCGGCUCACUGGGGAUUUUCUGACGCUGAGGAACGAAAGCCAGGGGAGCGAACGGG
rnacentral:rRNA from 1 species